GACACUUCCGCAUGUAGAGUCAUGUGGGCCAGGAAUCGAACCGCCAAACCUACGAUUAGUGGACAACCCGCUCUACCACCUGAACCACAGCCGCCCCAAUUCUUUUGGGAGGAAAUACCUAUUAUUACCCAAAAAGAUUCUCCCAAUUUCAUUUGGAAAAGGUUCUUGGGUUCCUAAAGGGGCUCAACAUGGGAUCCUCUCUCAUUGUGAAACACACUGUUGUAGGGUUCUACAUAGAAACUUUAGAGAAAUCAUAAACUCCAAAAGGUUCUAGAUCCAACUGUAAGCAGCCUCUGAGGAAGCAUAGUGACUCAGUUCAAGGAGAAUAAAUAUUUCAAUAAAAAAAGAGAAAAAUAUUGGGAUUUUUUUUUUUUAAACGACCAAUAAUCCUUCUUUUAAGUUUAAAAGACAAAUAAGCAGACUGAAACUAUACAUUUCUAACUCUCAGCAGAACUGUACAGCAACAUUAAAAACAGUCUACUGUACGAAACACAAGCUUUUAUGUAAUCAGAACAAUGAACUACAUAAAAAGCUAGACAGUUCACUUGUCUUAGACCCAGCGUAUUCAAUUAAAAUAUUCAGCUUUGGAGAUCAAUCAUAUCUAAUAAACUGACUCAUUGGGUUAUAACUUUUUUGUUGUUGUUGUUGGUCCAAUUCCAGGUUUAACCGGCGUGAUAAGAAGGCGUGUCCGUCCACAUGUGCAGACACACUAAAGUCAGGAGUUACUGUUCGGUGGUUGAUAGAGGACAGGAGUCUGAUUGGUCGAAAGGCGGAAAAGGAGAACCCAGAUAAGAGCGAGACAACCCUUGUGUCAUCACCAUAUGCAAAUGAGUAAAGGUCAUUAAAAUGCUGAGGGAAGGGGGUUAUUUGACAGAACUCUGGGGGACCGCUGGACAAAACGGAGACACCGAGCCUGCAGACAAAUAGAAAGGAAGGAAAGAUGACAGGGAAGGUGUUAAAUGAGUGUAAUUAAGCUGUGUGUUAACACCUACUUCAAGGGGACACGAAACAAGUGACCUUAAGGAACAAUCCGGAAAUUUCUCACACUAAGGUUCACAAGGUCUUAUAUUGUCUUCUGGACAGGAUAUCAUCAUAUACUGUAAGUUCAUUAUGGAGACACUACAGUAUAGAUGAUGUACUAUCCAGUGUGGCAUACCUCCUCCUGUGGGAUACCACACACACGCACAGUCUGUGAUAGAGAGAGGCGGUUAAACCGUUACCAUUACUGAGUUUAGUAAUGGUAAGGGUUCUUUUGCUUCUUCUCGCUGGCACCAACUAUCGAAAACGCCAACUGGAAUGAACUUCAUAUGAAUAUUUUAUAAAUAUGUCAUAACAGCAUUGUAGUUCUAUCUGAUAUAAAUUCAUUUCUUAUUUAACGUAACAUUGCUUGAUGUGGAACUACACGCUGAAUCUUGUCCUUGUACAAUGACCCUAAAGGUAUUCAUAUUAGUAUAAGUGCAUGAAUUCAGUAAAUUCAUUUAAAAAAAAAAAAAAAAAGUCUAUUUUGCAUGCGGGCUGUGUUUAUGAUUAAAAUGUCUUGAUAUAACACAAAAUAGUGUGUCAGUAGUAACUACUUUCAGUGUAUAAAUGUAUUAUGUUGUGCCUUGGUGAAUUGUUAUAUUAAUUCGUCAAACAUGUAUCAUACACGACCAUUUCAGGUCAUCAGUUUUUGAGUUUUUUUGCAUUGGGUGCCUUGAGGAAGGAAUUGGCAUCCUUGACUGAGUACUGAUAAUAGCAAAUAUUAUGUGCUGAAUACUAUCAAUAAUGUACUAUGGCUCAAUAAACACAUCCAGCUGAA